CAUCGCGAGGUGGGAUCUGAAGGAAGCCGGAUGUGAAGGCUGAGAAGUGCCAACACGGGCAAAGUUUCGGGCCGACGAACAGAAACCUCAUAUAAGGCUGACUUGGGGCGGACGACUCUACAGCGUAAGAAGAAGUCCAAUGCUACCCGAACCCCAUACAGUAGAUGAGGCGGCUGCGAGAUGAAGGUUAU
rnacentral:ncRNA from 1 species